GAUGAAGAACGUAGCGAAAUGCGAUAAGUAGUGUGAAUUGCAGAAUUCAGUGAAUCAUCGAAUCUUUGAACGCACAUUGCGCCCCUUGGUAUUCCAUGGGGCAUGCCUGUUCGAGCGUCAUUUGUACCUUCAAGCUCUGCUUGGUGUUGGGUGUUUGUCCCGCCUCUGCGUGUAGACUCGCCUCAAAACAAUUGGCAGCCGGCGUAUUGAUUUCGGAGCGCAGUACAUCUCGCGCUUUGCACUCAUAACGACGACGUCCAAAAGUACAUUUUUACACUCUUGACCUCGGAUCAGGUAGGGAUACCCGCUGAACUUAAGCAUAUCAAUAAGCGGAGGA
rnacentral:misc_RNA from 1 species